UGGGGAAUAUUGCACAAUGGGCGAAAGCCUGAUGCAGCAACGCCGCGUGAGUGAUGAAGGCCUUCGGGUUGUAAAGCUCUGUCUUUUGGGACGAUAAUGACGGGUACCAAAGGAGGAAGCCACGGCUAACUACGUGCCAGCAGCCGCGGUAAUACGGUAGGUGGCAAGCGUUUGUCCGGGAUUUUACUGGGGCGUAAAAGGAUGCGUAGGCGGAUUUUUCAAGUGAGAUGUGAAAUACCCGGGCUUAACUUGGGUGCUGCAUUUCAAACUGGGAAUCUAGAGUGCGGGAGAGGAGAAUGGAAUUCCUAGUGUAGCGGUGAAAUGCGUAGAGAUUAGGAAGAACACCAGUGGCGAAAGGGCGAUUCUCUGGACCGUAACUGACGCUGAGGC
rnacentral:rRNA from 1 species